rnacentral:lncRNA from 1 species
UGGAUAAAAGCUUAUGACAAAAUCUGCCAGUAGUGGUGACAUUCUUUAAUCUUCCUUCCUGCAGAUAUGAGUUUAGAUAAUGAAAAUUCAAGUAAGGGACCAAAGUCUUUAGACCGACAAGGAAAUAUCAGAGUAAACUCUCAACCAGCACCUGGGACUUGAGUUUUAAAAUAACCAGCAUACCAGGGUGCCACAUUUGGGCACUCUAUGGAUCCUUCAGCAACAUAUUUUUAUUCAGACUCUGGAUUACUUCAGCAACAUAUUUUUAAAUUAUAUUGAUUAUCCAUUUCCAUUCACUAGAGUGAGCUUCAGGAGGAGAAAGAUUUUUCUAUCUGUUGUGUUCACAGCUAUAUCCCCAGUGCUUGAAGGUAUUCAAUAAACACUCCUUGAAUGAAUAAAUAAAAGAUUAAAAAGCUGGCAGGCAGUUUUCUUCCCUUUCAUUGUGUCAUCAAUGCUGACCCAUGCAUCCCACGAACAUGCUGACUGCCUCUUUGGAAACAGGCCUGACCCCAGCUGGAUCUUAGUCUCAGACACCCACUCUGCCCAAGUACCCAAGAAAUAGCUGCAUCCUGAUGAACCCAACGGGCCACCUCCAUCGCAGGACAGUGUCUGAGACCCGAAUUCCAAAUAAUACCAAGGCUUGGUAAGCAACGGCACUCUCAGGCACUGCUGGUGGGAGCAUAAAUUGAUAUAACUACUGCAGAAGACUGACAACUUCUACUAAAGCAAGAUAUUCAUAUACCCAUGGUCCAGCAGUUCCCCUUCUUAUCCUGUUCCUAACAUAAAAGAGUGCUUAUGUCCACCAAAAGACAGCUACAGGGAUGUUUAUAGCAGCCUUAUUCAUAAUAACUCAAAACUGGAAAUAUAAGAAUAAACAAGAAAUUGUGGAGGGGUCAUAAAGUGGGAUCCUCUACCACAAUUGAAAAACCAGCCUUUACCUCAGAGCAAAGCCUGUCCAAGGAAGGGACAUCACCUUUGUCCUUGGAAAAACCCACAGAGCACUCCUAGGCACAUUCCCACCCUGCUAAGUUGUUUAUCUACAAAUAACAGGAGAGAUCUGCUGCGCCAGGUGUCCCUGACUCAGUCAGGCUAGGUGGGGAUCCACAGCAACCCCCUAGCAGCCACCAAUCAGCAUGAGACAGGGAAAUACCUGGGAUGCUAGAUGACCCUCCCAGUAGUUUAUGGUGGUUGAUAACAUGUUGGGAAACCAUGUAGUUCAGCAUGUACACCCCUCUUGGCUUAAACCAAUCAGUUCAAAUGAAUACCCCUUUUGUACUGACCAAUCACCCCUACCCAACUUGUUCCCCCCAGUGAAUGUGCGAAUCAUGUUUUAGAGUUGUUAUUUGAUUUUCCCGAGGUGUGUGAUGAUUUGCUAAGAGAUGCUAUGAUGUAUGUGGAGGUCCCUGCCUUCUCCAAAGAAUGUAUAAAACUGCUGCAAACCCUGGGAUUGGGGCCUCUCAGCGUCACCAGUUGCU